GUAUUUAUCUCGAUAUGGCCUAAUUAACGAGUGAUCAAUAAUGUCAGUGGCCUAGAUUCGUAACCUUCAUUGCACUUUGAAGGGGCAUUGGUCUACCAUCUGCCCAAGUGGUAAAAUGGACGUCAUAAUUUGUGAUAGGAGGAUUUGCAGUCGCGCAACCCCUAA